rnacentral:rRNA from 1 species
CAGUUCGGACUGCAGGCUGCAACCCGCCUGCACGAAGUUGGAAUUGCUAGUAAUCGCGGAUCAGCAUGCCGCGGUGAAUACGUUCCCGGGCUUUGUACACACCGCCCGUCACACCAUGGGAGCCGGAAACGCCCGAAGCCAGCGGCCCAACCGCAAGGGGGGAGCUGUCGAAGGCGGGGCCGGUGACCGGGGUGAAGUCGUAACAAGGUAUC